UUCCAUCCUAUUCUUAUUCCUAUUCUAUUCUUCUCUGGUUUAUUUUCUGUGAAAUGAUAGAUUAUUAAAAUGUGAAUACUGUCUCAAGAAUUUCAAACAAUACAGCAGUGACACCACAUAGUCUUUUUCUUAUGCUCAUUUUUAAGCCAGUCUUCUAUUUAGGAUACUUUCAUUCAUGUAAAUACAAUAUUUGGAAAGAUGGAAAGGAAAAGAACACCCAUCAGCAAGGGCAUUUCAGCAAUAUAUUAGAAGAUGUGAAGAACCAUGUUGGGAACAGAUUUUCCUACAGAAUAAUUUAUCUGUAAUAAAAACCCAGUAUUGAUAUAUUUAAUAAUUAAAACAUAACAACCUUAAAGCAAUUUAUUUGUUAAAAAACAUCUUUUUAUUUGUACAUGUCAGAAAUAUAGAAAAAAUGGCUAAUCUUUUUAAAUAAUAAACAGUCAAAAUCUUUAUAAACACUGUAACUUUUAAUUUCUAUGAAAUGUCUUCAUAGUUCUGUGUUCAUAUAGUCCAUCUAUACAUUCACAAUUAAGCAGACUCAAAAUCACAAUUCUUACAGUGUUAGAAUAACAGAACAUGACCAACUGGAGGGUGCAGUUAUAGUGGCAACCCAGGCUCAUCUGUGUGGAAAGUUCUUACCAAGUGAUAUGGAAGAUCUGGAUCGGCUGGCACCAUUUUGUAAUAUGCUCAAUCCAUAUUUUAUUGCUAAAAGAGUUUCUCACUUAUAAUCUCACAGCUGAAAACUGGUUCCCCUCACCACACAUAUGCUUCUGAGCUGAUGUGAGUACUAGGUAGAUGACCAGGUUUGCCAUCCUUUUGUGAACCUAUCCAAGGUUAUUCCACAACACUUUUCAGAAUCUUAUGCUAAAUAAUGCAAAAAAAAAAGAAAUGAUAACAGACUGUUUUAUACUACAAAUAAAUAUCUUUAGAAUAUUCACUUGGAAUAGUUUUUUCAGUUGUAAUCAUAUAAUUGUAACAGCUAUGUCUGAAAAAAGGGUUCUUUGUACUUCAUAGGCAGUAUUGUUUCCUAGUAGAUUAAUAUUUACAGUGACCCAUUCUUCGGCCCUAUAGAUUGGUGAUGUAUUGGUUUUUCUUUCUUUCCUUUUUUUUUGUAAUUCUAGAAAAAAGUAAGCCUUUGUGGAACAUAGUUUUUUAAGUCACGUUUUUGACUUGGUUUGCACUGAUUUUUGAAAUUAUUUACUGCUGUAACUUUUAGCAUCUGUAGUUAUAUUGCUGCAGCCAAUCAAUGGAUGGAAAUAUGCAAAAAGUGAACAGACUCUGACAACAGUAGCUGAGGAAAAAGGCUUAUAAAAAUAAUGUUCAUACUUAAAGCGGCGGGCUUCCGAAAAGCAAAUUUUGUCUGCAUACUCGUACGUGUUCUGAUUUAAGACCUAAUAUAAUUCCUAUUGUUGAGGAUAAUUAGAUCGCUUAGUAUUAAUUGUACCAGCUAUAUAAGUCAUCAGGAUAUCUAUACACGUGUUAAACUUCUUUCUGAAAUGAGCAAUAACUCUGAUUUCGGUGGAAAAGGUAGCAUUCACAUUAACUCAGUAGUGCAAAGAUAAAGUUCCCUGAUCCAAGUUAUGUUUGCAAGUCAUCAGUUGGCAUAUGGAAAGUCUGCUGAGGUAUAAAACACAUAAAAUGCAUUCUUCUCUUUGUUAGGCUAACAAUAUUUUUUUAAAGAAAAAAUGAUUAAAAUAACUUUUUUAAAAAAAUGCACUUUGCUAUAAUAAAAGAUUUCUUUAACAAAAGAUUGUGCAGUAUCACCUGAUCAAAACUAUAUUUCAAUAAUUUUAUGGAGGAACCCCCCCUUCUCACAUACACAUAUGGUCCCUCUCUAAAUACCUACCUAUCCUUCUUUUGUUAUGGUACAUAUAUAAAUAGGUAACAUAGCUAUUACAGCAUAACUACUUCCUAAAACCAGCAACUUCAAAUGCUGGUACUAAAUAGUGCAACAAAAGUAUCAGUGCAGAACAUUUUAUCCCUGAGCCUCAAAAAAUAAAAAUAAUAUAAUCUGAAUUCAAACUAACACAUUUUUUCUUUCGUGUUGGGGUUUAUCCUUUCAUUAUGUCACUGAUAUCAAGCCUUCUUAUAAAAUCAUAAAAUCAUUAUUUCUACACAGAUGCCGCACAUGUAUAGCAAUUUGAAAUCCUAACUGAAAUUAACUGAAGCAGGAAAGCAAGCAGAGUGGCUUGACAUAGCAUCCCACCAGAGGUAUGUAUGAUGCACACUCUCUUGAGUAUUCAGAAGGCCCUUAAAAGAUUAUUUUAUUGCUGAACGUUCUUCAUGCUAGUGCUAAGCCUGGUCACUUAGAGGAGAAAUAGCAGAAGAUAUGUAUCAGGAAUUCAAGAGUGAUUCUGAGAUUCUUAACAUAUAAAGUCUACUAUGAAUUCCUCUUAUAGUUUUGAUAAUGUCUAAUGGCGAAUGAACAAUAAACUAUUGAAAAAUUAUAAAAGAAAAAUCUAUUCAAGAAUAAGCUGUACCAAGAAAUGUAAUAUCAUGCAGGGGUUUCAGAAUUUUUAAAAAGUGCCAUUGAUUAGAGCACUAACACUUAAAUGGACAAGCGUUCUUUCCUGUGUUCAAAGCACUUAAUAAAAAAACUUUUAUAACAAUA